GUCUGAUUCUCUCGUCCCUUGCCACACAUUAGAGUGCCUGAGAUAUUGGCUCGAGUCUAUUGAGUAAUAAGCGACAUGGUGUGUUCUUCAAUUACCAAUUCUCCAUCCAUGCACACUGUGUUUUAGUAAGUGUGUAGCAAAAGCUAAUAUGCAGAAAUAAUGCGUCGAUUAUGUUCGGGCCAAAGAAUCAAUGUCAUCGUCCUGCUUUCUGAAGCCUGUUGGCCUUGUGAAGUCAAAUGGGUAAUGAGCAUUUUGACAAGUCCAAUUCAUGAACUCUGAGAACUAACUGAAUGAAUUGUUCCUUCCUUCCCGUACCUAUAUUACGGCGUUUCGGCUCUCG
rnacentral:lncRNA from 1 species